rnacentral:lncRNA from 1 species
GCAAACGUGUCUGGGGGUUCAAGCAGGCUCAUUCACUAGACGAGCAGAAGGAAUGGGGUUGCUACGGUUCAGUUCAUCUUCCUGUAUUCUAAUGGGACCCCCAACCUCUUUUGCAGGAAAUAAUUCUUUUCUGAAUUUCUGACUCCAUCAGUUUAGUUGAAUCUAGUCUGGCAAGGAGUCUAUAUUUUUUCAAUGCCUCCUUUCAUAUGUUGAAAAUUUUCCGUUCACCUCAAGGAACUUUUACAUUCCCGUGCUUCCAUAGUCGAGAAGCAAUCUUCCUCUCCAGAACCCCAGCUCCAGAAAGUCAAUGUAGAAUUCUGGCUUCCAGGAGGGGGCGCUCUAUAAAAAGAGCGGCUUGAAACCCAGGCCAUUUAGGGUAAGGAUCAAGAACCUGAUGUGUGGUUCUGCACAUAGCUGAGGAGUUUAAAAUGUGGCUUUUCCCACCCUCUUCUUGUACAGUCCACACACUGUCAUUGGAGGUCAGUGUACAUUUUGGCCCAAAGCAAUUGCCAACUCCAUGGUGCUCCGGCUUAGUAGGUUCUGUGUCUGAGCAAAUCAUUUAUCCUCUCAGAGCUUCAUCCCAGGGACAGAAAGCCUUCUAAUAUAGUAGCUGUCAUCUGCAGGUGGACCACUGCUCUUGUAUCUCCUUCCUCUGGAGAGAUUUACCUUUGGUAGAUUUCUGGGUGGACUCCAUGGUCCCCGAAGUAUAAGGCUCCCCCAGUUUCUGAAAGACUUCUCUUUCUACCACUGUCUUCACUUACCAACCAUGUGUUUGACCCUCUGCUUCUGUGCCUUCCUCCCCUCUCCCCAGUCUCUCUUAUUGUCUCCAUGCACACACCCCAAAGCCACUGGACAUGACGAUGCCCAGGUGGUCACUAGAAGCCCUGCUCUUUUACUUGUGCCCCAAGUUCACAUUCCAUUGGCCUCUGAACUUUGAAAAACUACCAACCCUUCAAAUUUAACACAAUUAAAAUGACAAAAAAAUUUGUGUCAUUUUUUUUUCCAUUGGAGAAGUAAUUCAUAACACAUUGCAAAUAAAAGAAAAAGCAAAAGGGACCCUACCUCUUACCAGCACUGCUCAGGACCCUGUUGCUAAUUACAUUCUUGGCCCUAGAUCAGGUCCUUCUCUUAGCUACCCAAUCCAAUGUCCGUUGUCUGUCAUUCUUCUAACUAGCAGCCCUAUAGUUACUGUGUCUGCAAUUCACUUUGUCAUUUUAUUUCAGAAUCAAAUCCUAUUGAGUCGUCCUUCAGAAAUGUCUCAUGGGAAAAUUAAAAUUAUAACAGAUAUAAAACGCUAGCCCUCUCUCAAGUCCUUUCCUCUCCACGCCCACUGCCUCCAAAAGGAAGCCACUCCAGCUGGAUGGCCAGCUCACUGGAGUGCAGAGACCAUAUGGCUCGGGUCUCAAAUAGAGUCUUGCCCACAGCGAUGAGCACUCGGUGUGGGCCCCACGCUCAGAGCGUGAGUCACGAUGGACACAGCCAGAUCUUCUUUCCCACAACUUGUCAAGGACUUUUAGAAAGCAGUCGUGCUCAGAGCUAGAGAGGAAGUGGGAAACGGGCACUGCUCAGGCUAUAAAAAGGCCCGACUUCUGGAGGCCAACUUGGAAAUAAGUGUCAACAGCCUGGAGAUUCUGCUCCCCCGAGCCUCAGCAAUACCCACUGCUAAAAGAACAGUCUCAGGAAGAAUCAUAAAUGUGUGCAAAGAGGGAGCUACAAGAACAUUCAUUGUAGGAUUGUUAAAAUAGCAAAUAAUUGGGAGGAAAAACCCUGAAAUGGGAGGGCUGAGAAAAUUUGUGUUUAAAAUUCAGUUCUGAAAAUACAAGGACCCUCCUCUCCCCUUUGUCUCCCUUCAUGCCUUCUUUUCUUCCUUCCUUCCACUUUCUCCCUCUUUCCCUUGCCCAACCUUUCUCAGUUUUUCUUCCUUUUCUCUUUCUUCCUCCCUCUCUCUUGCUUGCUUGCUCUCUUUCCCUCCCUCUUUUAGCAAUUUUCUAUGAUAAACAUGUAUUACUAUUGCAUUAAUACAAAAACAAUCUUAAAAUAUGACUAUGCUAAGUCAUACCAUUAGUUCCUUAAAAUUUUUUCUCUCUUAUGAUUAUAAUCUUUUAAAAAGGGUUGUGUCUCAUUUAGUAAGUUUUUUUGGAGAAUCGUGGUACAUAUAUUUCACUAUUCUAUGCUUUGUCUUCACGUGGGAGAUUAGUAAAUAAUAAAAGGAUGCUUAGCUACCAAUAAUCAAAUAGUGGUUCUUCUUCCAUCCCCAUACCUUCAAAGGUUUCAGAUACCUACUAUGUGAUUCCCUGAUCCCUUCCCCCUUAUCUAGUCAAAAAUAUAUGAUUUCUUUUUAAUGGUGUGUUUGGGACAUGAACAUGGAUGCUGAAAUCAAUUAACUUUGCUUUAAAGUUCUCCUUAGAGCCCUAGAAAUAAUUGCAGAUACUCUAGGGAAAUAUCACAACCAGGCCUGAGAGUGACUAUUCUGAUCCACAAAACUGAGGAGACAGGAAAACAUACAACCAACUGAGGAGGGCACAAAAGAGAAUGUUUCAAAUUAGCUCAUGUUCAGCUUUUAUAGUUUUCCCCUUAGCAGAUAGUAACUAUUAGUCAGCUUUCUGUCGCUAUGACACAAUAGCUGAGAUAAGCACCUUAGAAGAAAGGUUCAUUUUGGUUUGUGGUUUCAGAGGUUUUGGUCCAUGGUCACUUUGGUCUUAUUGCUUUGGGCCUGUGAUGGCACAGUACAUCAUGGUGGAGGUGUGAAGCCAAGGAGGCCUGUUCAUCAGAGAGAAAGUCAGGAAGCAGCUUGAAGUACACAGACACCACUGAUCUAACUUCUUUCCACUAGACCCCACCCCAUAAAGGCUCCAUCACCUCCCAAUUGCACCACAGGCCAAGCCACUAAAACAUGGGUCUUGGGGGGACAUUCCAGGCCCAAACCAUAACCUUAGCCAAAGUCGACUUUAUAGCAAGAACUUUAGAUUCAAUUCGUAAGCACUAGUAGUCAAUUUUUCCAAAAAAGUUUAUUUAAAUGAAUCAAGAUGGAGCAUUAGUGGUUUUGAAGUUGUCUAGGCCACUUCUAGAAUUCUGUAAAAUUAUAGGAUCCUAACUUAGUG